rnacentral:rRNA from 1 species
UACGGGGGGGGUAAGCGUUGUUCGGAAUUACUGGGCGUAAAGGGCUCGUAGGCGGCCAACUAAGUCAUACGUGAAAUCCCUCAGCUUAACUGGGGAACUGCGUGUGAUACUGGAUGGCUUGGAUUUGGGAGAGGGAUGCGGAAUUCCAGGUGUAGCGGUGAAAUGCGUAGAUAUCUGGAGGAACACCGGUGGCGAAGGCGGCAUCCUGGACCAACACUGACACUGAGGAGCGAAGGCCAGGGGAGCAAACGGG